GACGAACGCUGGCGGCGUGCUUAACACAUGCAAGUCGAACGCUGAAGCUCAGCUUUUGUUGGGUGGAUGAGUGGCGUACGGGUGAGUAACACGUGAGUAACCUGCCCCCUUCUUUGGGAUAACGCCCGGAAACGGGUGCUAAUACUGGAUAUUCACUGGUCUUCGCAUGGGGGUUGGUGGAAAGGGUUUUUCUGGUGGGGGAUGGGCUCGCGGCCUAUCAGCUUGUUGGUGGGGUGAUGGCCUACCAAGGCUUUGACGGGUAGCCGGCCUGAGAGGGUGACCGGUCACAUUGGGACUGAGAUACGGCCCAGACUCCUACGGGAGGCAGCAGUGGGGAAUAUUGCACAAUGGGCGCAAGCCUGAUGCAGCGACGCCGCGUGAGGGAUGGAGGCCUUCGGGUUGUGAACCUCUUUCGCUCAUGGUCAAGCCGCAACAAUGGUUGUGGUGAGGGUAGUGGGUAAAGAAGCGCCGGCUAACUACGUG
rnacentral:rRNA from 1 species